rnacentral:misc_RNA from 1 species
UGGUGCUGGUGCUUUUGAUGUCGCUGUCGCGACUGUUACCCUUCAGUGUGCGUUUGCACGUUGAACACGACGGUACAUGUAGCUGAGUGUAAGGAGUCUUCAAUGCGAUUUGUUUGAUCUUGCAACAGUGCAUAAAUACAAAAAAAAAACAAAAAAAAUUAUAAAUUAAAUUAAAUAAUCCAAAAAGUACAUAAAAGAAGUUGGGAAAGUGUGGCAACAUCCAUAAAACUAACUUAAGUUGUUGUUAUACCAAAUACCGCGUUGACAGCCGCAAGUGGCAGAAGCUCAAGCAGCUGUCUGAAAUAAGUACGACCAAGAAGCUGCCACAGAGCUCUGUUGAGAGCCCAAGUGGCCAAUCGCAAACAGCGGCAACAACGUUGGCGUGCAACGUCCUUGACAUAGAGCGGACGAACACACAAAUCAGUCCAGAGUGAAGUGGAAGACGACAUCAUCGGACGAUGAAUUGGACGCGCGUGUUGCUAAUCGGCCUGGUGGCCGUCUUGACGCUGGCACUUGUGGAGGUUGCAUCACUCUCACUGGAUCCAGUUGCUUCUGCUGAGCUGGAACAGUUUAUCAGGAAAGGCGAUGUGGUAAUUUCCACGCGUCACAUAAGACCGCGACGCAAACUGCAUAUAUCCAUUGAGGCGCUGUUCAUGAUCGACUUUCCCAUGCUGAAGCAUAAGAUGUCCUUCUUCCUGGACCGCAAGCAGCAGCGCGUUACUCUGGACAUAAGCGCCAAUGGAGCGACAGAGUCACGCAACUUUGAGAUACCCAACAUAAAUGAGACGAGCACCAUACGAUCGUUGGCCCUGCAGUUCUCGAAGAAUCGCAUUACACUCCAUGUGGACUGCAAGCCGAGCACUUUCCACGACAUUGACAUGAGCCUGUCCAAGCUGUAUACCCAAAUGGAUGAUCCAGUGAUUAAGCUGUUCAGGGAACGCAAAUAUCCACUACACUUUGAUGCAGACAUGGAACACUCGCUGCAGCGUGCCAACUGUCAAAAGGGUCUCCAUCGCCGGGGCAAUCGGCGCAUGCUGCGGAACAAGAUCUCCGAGCGUGAGAAGAACAAGAAACGCGAUGUGCGCAGCAAUUGGUACCAUGAGCCAACUCUGGCACGGGACGGCGUCGAUCAGCGUCAGCAGGAAAUACCUACGGAUGUGGAGCGUGGUGAUAUACCCAUCAUGCAUGGCGAUUGUGAAGACGCCCUCGCACGAUCGCUGAGCGAUCUUCUGGCAUUGGUUAAGCUGCUGCGCGAAGAUGUCGCCCACCAGCGUCAGGAGAUUGCCUACUUGCGCAUGCUCUUGGAGAACUGUGCGGGCUGCAAGGAGCCCAGCGGCGACAAUCAUAUACGCCUCGAGCCCAAUUGCCGCACUGCGAAUCCUUGUUAUCCUGGCGUUGAUUGCCACGAGACCGCCUCGGGACCCAGGUGCGGCCGUUGUCCUGCUGGCUUCAUUGGCGAUGGCAAAGUCUGCAAGCCGGGCGUCAGCUGCGCGGACAGGCCCUGUUUUCUAGGCGUUCAGUGUCACGAUACGGUGAACGGUGCCCAGUGUGACUCCUGUCCGGCUGGCUAUGAAGGUGAUGGACGCACAUGUUCGCUACGUAAUCCUUGCCUGGACACACCAUGCCCCUCAGGUGUCGAGUGCAUUCAGCUUGGCUUCCCGCCCUACUUCCAGUGCAUCUCCUGUCCACGUGGCCACAAAAUCAAUGGCACCACCUGCCACGACGUGGACGAGUGUGCGAUCUAUCAGCCCUGCGAUGAACGGGCCAUUUGCAGCAAUCUUAAUCCCGGCUUUCGCUGUGGACCCUGCCCGCCCGGCUUCGAUGGCAUCCAUGCACAUGGCUAUUCGGCGGACUACUUGGCAGUGGGCUUUCAAAAGCAAACCUGCUUGGAUAUAGACGAGUGCAAAAUGGGCUUCUUUAGAUGUCCGGAACAUGCUGUCUGUCAUAAUAGCAUUGGCUCCUACAGAUGUCAGUGUCAGGAUGGCUAUGUGGCCAAUGGCACCUUCAGCUGUCUAUCUGCGGCCGAUCUAUGUCCCGAUGGCAGCAUCUGCGCCAGAAAUGCGGAAUGCGUGCCCACGGAUAAUUAUCAUUACCAAUGCCGCUGCAGCGUCGGCUGGGCGGGCAAUGGGCGUGUCUGUGGCAGGGAUCGCGACCUGGAUGGCUGGCCGGAUGAGUCGCUGAACUGUGCUGAGGCGCAUUGCCGUCGCGACAACUGUCCAGACUUGCCGAAUUCUGGUCAGGAGGAUGCCGAUCUGGAUGGCAUGGGCGAUGGCUGCGACGAUGAUGCCGACAGCGACCAGGUUUUAAACGGCAAGGACAACUGUCCGUUUGCCUUCAAUAGCGAUCAGCUGGACUCGGAUCAUGAUGGCGUGGGCGAUGCCUGUGACAAUUGUGUCUUUAUUUCGAAUCGCCGGCAGCUGGACACCGACGAGGAUGGCCUGGGCAAUGAGUGCGACGAGGAUAUGGACAACGAUUCAGUGCUUAAUCAGUAUGACAAUUGUCCUGCGCUGCGCAAUCCGAAUCAAUCCGAUGUGGACAACGAUGGCGUGGGCGAUUUGUGCGACAAUUGUCCAACCAUACCAAAUCCCACGCAGGAAGAUCGGGACAUGGAUCUAGUGGGCGAUGCCUGCGACAGCGACAUUGAUGGCGAUGAUGACGGCAUACAGGACUCAGAGGAUAAUUGCCCCAUGGUCAGCAACUCAGAUCAACUGGACACGGAUGAGGAUGGCAAGGGCGAUGCCUGUGACGAUGACAUGGAUGGCGAUGGCGUGCCCAACUACAGAGACAACUGUCCACUGGCCAAGAAUCCGCAACAGUUAGACAUUAAUCACAAUGGCAAGGGCGAUGUCUGCGAGGACGACGAGGACGAGGACGGCACGCCCAACAUUAUCGAUAACUGUCCAAACAAUUCCAUGAUACAACGCACCGAUUUCCGCACUAUACGUUCGGUUAUCUUAGAUCCUGAGGGCGAUGCUCAGCUGGAUCCCAACUGGGAGGUGCAUGCAAAUGGUUCGGAGAUUAUACAAACUCUCAAUUCCGAUCCGGGCCUGGUGGUUGGUAGCGAUUCGUUUGGAGGUGUCGAUUUUGAGGGCACUUUCUAUGUCAACGAUGAUACGGACGAUGACUAUGUGGGCUUCAUCUUUAGCUACCAGAGCAAUCGCAAAUUCUAUGUGGUGCAGUGGAAGAAGGGCACCCAGACCUAUUGGCACUCGUCGCCCUUCCGCGCCUCGGCCGAGCCGGGCGUCCAGAUAAAGCUAAUUGACAGCAACACAGGUCCCGGCUCCAUGUUGCGUAACAGCUUGUGGCAUGCCGGCGACACGCCUGGCCAGGCAAGGCUGCUCUGGAAGGAUCCACUGAAUGCCGGCUGGAAGGAGAAGACCUCAUAUCGCUGGUCCCUAGUGCAUCGACCUUCCAUCGGGCUGAUCAGACUGCGCAUAUAUGAGGGCGAACGUUUGAUAUUGGACUCGCACAAUGUUUACGAUGCCACACUCACCCUCAAGGGCGGACGGCUGGGCGUUUUUUGUUUUUCCCAAGAAAUGAUUAUAUGGUCGGAUCUGGUUUACAAAUGCAACACACGCGUACCGCCCCUCAUCUACAACGAACUGCCCACACAUCUCAAGCUUAAAGUGGAACUGGAGAACUAAGCAGAGCCCAGCCGCGGUAUUUAUAUCUGGUUUCUGUCCCAGCUUUCAAAGCAGCAGAAGAUUGAAGGACUCAAGGAUUCGCAUCGAUUCAAAGGACAAUUACGAAUCUAACGAGGCUAUUCCUUCCAGGAUCGGACAUAUAUUAAGCCAUAUAUAUUUAUUUUAAGUUACAAUCG